UUUAAGCUUCCUACGGGAGGCUGCAGUGGGGAAUCUUGCGCAAUGGGUGAAAGCCUGACGCAGCCAUGCCGCGUGAAUGAUGAAGGUCUUAGGAUUGUAAAAUUCUUUCACCGGGGACGAUAAUGACGGUACCCGGAGAAGAAGCCCCGGCUAACUUCGUGCCAGCAGCCGCGGUAAUACGAAGGGGGCUAGCGUUGCUCGGAAUUACUGGGCGUAAAGGGAGCGUAGGCGGACAUUUAAGUCAGGGGUGAAAUCCCGGGGCUCAACCUCGGAAUUGCCUUUGAUACUGGGUGUCUUGAGUAUGAGAGAGGUGUGUGGAACUCCGAGUGUAGAGGUGAAAUUCGUAGAUAUUCGGAAGAACACCAGUGGCGAAGGCGACACACUGGCUCAUUACUGACGCUGAGGCUCGAAAGCGUGGGGAGCAAACAGGAUUAGAUACCCUUGUAGUCGAAUUCUU
rnacentral:rRNA from 1 species